UACGUAGGGCGCAAGCGUUGUCCGGAAUUAUUGGGCGUAAAGAGCUCGUAGGCGGCUUGUUGCGUCAGCUGUGAAAACCCGCAGCUCAACUGUGGGCUUGCAGCUGAUACGGGCAGGCUUGAGUUCGGUAGGGGAGACUGGAAUUCCCGGUGUAGCGGUGAAAUGCGCAGAUAUCGGGAGGAACACCGGGUGGCGAAGGCGGUUCUCUGGGCCUUACCUGACGCUGAGGAGCGAAAGCGUGGGGAGCGAACAGG
rnacentral:rRNA from 1 species